GACGAACGCUGGCGGCGUGCUUAACACAUGCAAGUCGAACGGUAAGGCCCUUCGGGGUACACGAGUGGCGAACGGGUGAGUAACACGUGGGUGAUCUGCUCUGCACUUCGGGAUAAGCCCGGGCAACUGGGUCUAAUACCGGAUAGGACUCGUGGCUUCAUCGUUGGGGGUGGAAAGCUUUUGCGGUGUGGGAUGGGCCCGCGGCCUAUCAGCUUGUUGGUGGGGUAAUGGCCUACCAAGGCGACGACGGGUAGCCGGCCUGAGAGGGGGACCGGUCACACUGGGACUGAGAUACGGCCCAGACUCCUACGGGAGGCAGCAGUGGGGAAUAUUGCCCAAUGGGCGCAAGCCUGAUGCAGCGACGCCGCGUGAGGGAUGACGGCCUUCGGGUUGUAAACCUCUUUCAGCUAUGACGAAGCGCAAGUGACGGUAGUAGCAGAAGAAGGACCGGCCAACUACGUGCCAGCCGCCGCAGUAA
rnacentral:rRNA from 1 species